UACAGAGGCGGCAAGCGUUGUUCGGAAUUAUUGGGCGUAAAGAGCACGUAGGCGGCCUUGCAAGUCAGUUGUGAAAGCCUUCCGCUUAACGGAAGAACGGCAUCUGAUACUACAGGGCUUGAGUACGGGAGGGGAGAGUGGAACUUCUGGUGGAGCGGUGAAAUGCGUAGAUAUCAGAAGGAACGCCGGCGGCGAAAGCGACUCUCUGGUCCGAAACUGACGCUGAGUGUGCGAAAGCUAGGGGAGCAAACGGGAUUAGAAACCCAGUAGUCC
rnacentral:rRNA from 1 species